GACGAUGACGACGACGACGACGACGAAGAAGUAGAAAAGAAGUGGAUGAGAGAAGGGUUAGUAAGGGAUCUGCGUUUGGGUCUGGCGAUAGAGAGAGCCAUUAAAGGUUAAGAAGGUGAAAAAAUGAUGUUUACUGGACUAGGGUUUGAGAGUGAAGAAGAAGGGUGGCACUGGCACAGGCACAGUUGGUCGAUGGGGUUUAGGCUUAAGCGAGGACUUUGUGGCCUGUGGGUACGGACCGG
rnacentral:misc_RNA from 1 species